rnacentral:lncRNA from 1 species
CCUUAUUGUUGUACACUGAAAAGAGCGCUUGAAAGGUUUUCCCGAUCUUGCAUAUUUUUUUUAGAAUUCUUAGUCUCCACUUUUCAGUUUCCACAAUCCCUUUCUCCUGGGGGUGGAGUGGGGGCGGGGGAUUUCUUUUCUGUUUACUGUCUCUUCCCUUCCCCUACAACUGCUGUUUUGUUGCUUCUUGUAAGUCACUUCUCGAAAACGAAUGAGUUGCUUUCCACUUCAUGGGAAGUUUGGAUGAGCUGCCCCAAGUUCAUUUAAAGGAAAUUAGGAGAGCGAUGAAAGUUUGUUCCUAUUCUAAAUUAUUGAGAGGGAUGGCUCUGAUUAAUUACUCUUGCUAUCGUUAUUAGCUCAGAACUAACGGGCCCAUACAUAUAUCAAUAUUGUACUGAUUUGAAUGAGGUGUGGAUACACUGGGUGUACGGAUGGCUGACAAAGUUUAAUGAUUUGCGAUGUAUAUGUAGACUACAGAAGCAAGAAAACCACAGAGAUAAUUGUCACGGUUGAGGUAGUGAUCUAGCCAGGCGCCUGGGUGGCUUAGUCGGUUGAGCCUCUAAGUUUGGGUCAUGAUCCCAGGGUCGUGGGAUAGAGCCCUGGCUGGGGGGGAGGGGGUCUUUGCUCUUUGCUGAUAGCACAGAGCCUGCUUGGGAUUCUCUCUCCCUCUCUCUUUCAAAACUAAGAGGAAAAAAAUGGUGGUGAUCUAGCUAUUUAUCAUUCCCUACUCCCUGCCCUGGCCUCUGGGAACUUUUGAAAGUUAAGAUAUGCUUACAUGAAAUGAUACAUGUUGACCUUUGGCAUGCUGACAGGCAUUUUCCCCCCUGUGGUCUUUAACUUCUUAACCUGUUUUUCAGGAAAUUCAGUUUCUACUGGGUUGAUUCACUACUGUGCAAGAAGACAGAGAAUAUGCACUUUUAGGAAGGAACCUUUUUAUACAUAUUCUUUCUUCUGGGAGAAAGUCCUUAUUUCUUCAAGAAUAUUUUCAGAUGUUGUUUAAGGCAACGAGCCAGAGAAUGAUAAAGUUGUUCCAAGCAAGUUUGGGCACACCUGAUUUAGCAAGUCUCGCUUGUGAACAGGAGCUGUGAAGGACUACGUGGUAAGUUUUAUAUUUUCCCCAAACGAAAACAAUAAGAAACAAAGCAAUCCUCCAACCCCAAACCAAAAAAUAAAUAGAAUAAGAAAGAGUGAGAUAUACUAAGC